rnacentral:rRNA from 1 species
UGACAAUUUUGACCCAAAAUCAGGUAAGACUACCCGCUGAACUUAAGCAUAUCAAUAAGCGGAGGA